CCAUGGGCACAGGGAGAUCCUGGUGCUCCGGGAGGAGAUCCGGGUGCUGAUGGAGGCGCUGCUGGAGGCCUCCAGCACCAUCCUGCUGUCCCCAUUGCCUCACGCCAGCCUGUGUGCUCGCUGGGAGCUCCUGCAGAGGGACCUGGGCCUCAGGGCCAAGGCACUGAUGCUCCACCUGGAGAAGGUCAAUGCUGAGCACUUGAGGGUGAUCAGAGACGUUGUUGGACCUGCAUUGAUGCCUCUGUCCCAUGAGGAGAGGGAAAGGAGCAAAGAGGCCUUUGAAGAGAAAGCAAACAGGCUAAUGGCAAAUGUACAGUGGGUCAGAGCCACCCUCCACCAUGUGCUGGAGGCCAACACUCAACCAGAGCUGGAGGCAAACCUGCUCUCCAUGGCAGAGCACCUCCUGCUGCUCACAUCCAAUGCCAUGGGCAGUGCCAGGCAGCUCCUUCAGAGCCCCGGGGAUGGAGAACACCUCCACCUGGAGAGCAUCAUCUGGUGCUGGGCUGCAGGGGCACAGUACCUGCUCACACAGCUGCAGGCUGUGCAGGGCAUCGGUGGGGAUGUCCUGGAGCUCAUCAGGCAUCACCUGCAGGACACAGGGGACCGGAGCUUCCCAAGGCAACACAGCAGCACAACCAGGCUCUUCCCAGCCCCGGAGCCUCGGAGCCACAUCAGGGCAAUGGACACCUGCCCAAGCAGGAGCGGAGCUGCCACGGAGGCACCUGCAAUGCAGCCCAAGGGUCCUGCCAGCACCAGUGUGAAGCACGACAGAGAAAGCAGUGACAUGGGGCAGGGCCCCAGCAGGAUGUCCCAGGUCACCAAGGACACGGCUGCAAGGAUGCUCCACAUGACUCAGUUCCUCAGGAGGAAGGGCCCCAUCACAGUAAGGAGCAUGUUCCCCCCUCCACCCCAGCACCAUUCCCCCCCAAGAGCAGGAUUAGAGCCAGUGAUGGGGCUGCUCAGCACCCAUUGAACCCCCAUCUCCCAACACUACCCCACACCCGUGAGGGUGGCACCAGCUCUAUUUAUGCAAAGCACAAGACAUUACAUCCCCCGAUGAGGUGUGAGCUUGGCAUCCAGCCCUUCCCUGUUUGAGACCAUAACUGGGCUCCUGCUCUGGAGCCAGGCUGAGAGAGCUGGGCUGGGGCAGCCUGGACAAGAGAAGGCUCCUGAAGGGGAGAGCUGAGAGCAGCUCCAGUGCCUAAAGGGGCUGCAGGAAAGCUGGAGAGGGGCUUGG
rnacentral:lncRNA from 14 species